rnacentral:rRNA from 1 species
GAUGAACGCUGGCGGCGUGCCUAAUACAUGCAAGUCGAGCGAACAGAUGAGGAGCUUGCUCCUCUGACGUUAGCGGCGGACGGGUGAGUAAAACGUGGAUAACCUACCUAUAAGACGGGGAUAACUUCGGGAAACCGGAGCUAAUACCGGAUAAUAUAUGGAACCGCAUGGUUCAAUAGUGAAAGACGGUUUGGCUGUCACUUAUAGAUGGAUCCGCGCCGCAUUAGCUAGUUGGUAAGGUAACGGCUUACCAAGGCAACGAUGCGUAGCUGACCUGAGAGGGUGAUCGGCCACACUGGAACUGAGACACGGUCCAGACUCCUACGGGAGGCAGCAGUAGGGAAUCUUCCGCAAUGGGCGCAAGCCUGACGGAGCAACGCCGCGUGAGUGAUGAAGGUCUUCGGAUCGUAAAGCUCUGUUAUUAGGGAAGAACAAAUGUGUAAGUAACUAUGCACGUCUUGACGGUACCUAAUCAGAAAGCCCCGGCUAACUACGUG